ensembl:lncRNA
GUGAACACGUUUCCCUUUCUUCCCGGAGUGGGGAUCUACCCCAACCGCAGGCAGGUGUUGGGCACAUUUUGGUGGAGGUAACGAAACCACGGCUCUGAGUGGAGCUGUCAGGUCUUUCCACUCUGUCCUUGCUCGGCAAACUCUCCCCCACGGACAAAAAGGCGAGAAAUUGAUAGUAUUUAUUCGUUUCCCGGCCUCACUGAGAGAUCGGGAAAAAUAUUCUGGAAAGCGUCACUGAAAUCCUUCAAGGCUGGAUUUCAGGCGCUGCUAUCAGCUGUCGACGACGAAAAACGGGCAGUACACUGUUUUAUACGGAAAUUAAACAUAUUGGAGCCUCACGCCAGAUCUAGCUGAUAUUAUAGUCGAUUUCCCAGAAUUUUCCUUCUGCUUUUGCACUGUAUUCCUUUGUCGCACUUAUUUAUGUGACUGGGACAGAGAGCAGAGAAAUCAUCAUCGAGAGGGACGCGCGUCUUGGGAUAAUCGGAAACAAGGGUUCUUUUUAAAAACAUCUUUUAUGGCCUCAAAAUUCAUGGGGAAAAAAAUAAAAUAUACGCGAAAGCACCGUAGCAGAACCGAUAAGAUAUAAUAAAGGCAAAUUAAUCGGAAACGAACGUUUCCCGGAAAACCAAGUGGUGCAAAGCGGAUUUCUAGCGCGGGGCCGGGCCGAGGGAGAGGCUCUCACCGCCCAAGCCGCAGGUGCCUCGGCGGGGCUGUAGAACCCUUUGGGUUUGUAGCCUUUUCCCCGCUCCCGCCCAGUGCUCGGGGCAGGGAUGGAUCCCGGCUCGGUCCCGCUUCCCAGCCCCGGGCUCUGCUCGCCGUUCCCGCCUGGAAAUUCAGCAUUUUGGUCAUUUUCGCCUCCCGCGGCCGUGAGGGUUCCGCCGCAUUUCGGGGCUUCCCUCGGCCGCGUUCUCUGGGAAGGUUUUAUAGAAAUAUAGAAACCAACCUCCCGCCCCACACGGUUUGUUUUCCGCUGGGUACCCGAGAUAUUCCCCGGGCUGCCCCGACGGGAAGGUGCGGAAUUUUGCCGGGUUGCUGCCGGUUUUUAAAGGAGGGAGAAGAGGGGAGGGGGUUUGGGGGGGCGGCGGCUGCCGCCUCUAUUUUAAUGUCAUUAUAGUUACCGUGGCAACCCAUUGGAUCACUCCUCCUGGAAUGAACCUUGUGACAAUGGUUGGUUUGCGAGAAAUCGGUAAAUGUGCAACCGGGGGACACAGCUACAUUACCGCCAACAACAGCGAGGGUUUAACAUGUGACCCUUCCAAUUAUGCCGAUGAUACCUCGGUGCAGCUGCCUCCGCCGUGCUGCGGAGAUGCGGCUUUUGGGGGGGCUGGGGAGGGUUCCGGGGCUGUUUCAGGGCACAGCCCGGUGGGGAUGGGGCCGCAACCCGCACCGCCUCUGCACUGAGAGGAGAACAGCAUCUCUGCACCGGGAUCGCGAAUGUGGUCCCAGCCACUAAAAGACAAAAAGGAAAAAAAAAAAAAAAAAAAGAAGAGGAAAAAUCUUCUUCGGGAAAUUCAAUAUGCGGAGGGGCUGUGGCUGUAGGGCUGUGGAAUAAGGACCUGCUUUGGGGGCUGGGCAGAGACCCCCCCCCCCCCCCCCCCCCCGCCCCGGCGCACACGGUACAUCUGUGGCACGGCUGCAGGAAGGACAGGAAGGAACGAACAAAACCCACCCCCUCCCCGGAAAAAAAAAAAAAAAAAUUGUUACAAGCCUUAAAAUAUGGUUCAGAGAAUUACAAGUAAUCAGAGCUGCGGGGGUCAGCAGUGCAAACUUUUUAAGACUAAUGUUUAUUUAGAAAAGUGAGUGGUGUCUGCGUUGCUUUUCUAGUGCCCCAGCACAAAAGUCCUAAUGGCUUUUGCAGACUUUCCAUCACAAACUCCUGCACAGGACGCAGGGACCACCGCCGAAAGCAACCCCAAGCUGCCCCUUUCGAAGGUAUCAUCGGCACAGGGUUUAUAACCCCCUCGCCCGUCUUUCCACGAGUCGAUGACGAUAUUUUCUGCGCCCCUUCCUCAGUUUUGCCCCUCUUUCGCGUUACUUUGGUGUAACCCGAACCCUCCCCUAAUACCGUGGAGGAGAGAAAUCGGGGGAUGGGAACGGCUAUCCCCACCUCCUUCCCCAGUCCCGUUCAGCCCUGGACGGUGCUGAAAGCAGCGAGCUGGAAACCUCGUUAGGGAGAAGCCGGGGGCAGAGGCAGGAACCGGCGCGGGGCGGGCUGGCCGCUGUCCUGGGACAAGGCAGAGCUGGCAAAUCCAUUCUCCCGUCUCAUCCCUUCCAGCCGCUCUCCCGAGAGCCCAGCCACACCACCGGCCCUUGGGUAGCUUUGGGUGUCUCUGCUGAGCCCAUCCCAAAGCUCAGCCCGUGGAUAAAACAUGAUCGCCAAUUGGGAUUUGACUGCCUUAGCAGAGCCGAGGCUCCGUCUGGGGAUGCUCCUUUUGUUCUCAGGACUGGAAGAAUAAAACCAGCAGCUCCGCACACCUCUGGGGACAAUUCCCCCUCGACUUUAAGCAGGAGGUGGAUACAGGGGAAACGCAGACCUGGAAUUUCACUGAAAGCCAGUGGCCUCAGCCCUAGGUGUCUUGCAGCAGGGCAGGGGAAAAGCCCCUGUGUUCAGGUCGUUCCCUCCUGCCCUUGACAGGUGUCAGGAUCUGGGAAGGAUGAGCAAGACAACAGGAUGCUGUCCCCUCUCCUGUCAUUAGCGCUCACAGCUCAUCACUGAGCAACCAGAGCUGCUUUGCAGUGGGAUGUGCAGGAGAGAAACAGGGUGGCAAGAGGAAUGGGAUGGAAGGGGGAGAGAAGGCGGUUGGAUCUUUCUCUCUUUCCAGCCAAGUGACUAUCUUGCCCUGAUCCUGAAAAGGUAAGCUCUGUUUAACCCCUUCUUUGCUCUGCAUAGGGAAAAACACAAAGCUUAAACCUGGGAAGGCUGAACCAAGAAAUGGCAGCUGAAAGUGCCUCUGGAAACACACCCCUGAGGCCUGAUCCUGGCUGCACCUACCUGAAUCAAGCACAGAUGCUCAGCUCUGUCAGAAGCAGGUCCAGGGUUGAUGUUGUGGCUGGUGCUGCGAAGCUGAGUUUGAUGGAGGGAGGACAGUGCUAUUUCUAAACUGCUGAAAUGUGCCUGACACUUGAGGGAAGAUCAUCUCCUCUCCCCCAAGGGCUUUCAUUUGAAGGGCUUGACUUAGCUUUCAAACAAGUUGAUAAGACAUUCUGGCCUUCUGACUCCCAUUAUCUCCCCGAGGGCCCUGCACCCUCCUCCAUGUGCUGGAGCACCCAGAUUAGGUCGCUGUAAUUGCUCAUGGAGUGGAGGACCCCCAGGCAGGACCUGGCACUUCUCUUCAGGGUUUGGAGAGCUGCUGCAAAGCCAGGCAGAGGGAAGGGGCUGGGUGACAGCAGUGCCUGCUAUUCUGUAUCUUUCUAUCCCCCUUACGAAGCAAAAAUGCUGGGAACACUGUUCAUCCCUAAAUUUGGAACAUUUGGGCUGUAAUGAUUUGGAUGCAUUUGAAGAGGGGAGGCAGGGAAGAAGGAUGCAGAGAGAGGCACGAGAAGGAGAAAGAGCCACAGCCUUGCUGGCAUGAAGUUGAUUUGUCUGAAUCCUGUCCUUUUGUGUCUGUCAUUGUCACUGUACCCAGGAGAUGCUGCAACCACAUGCACAUGAGGCCCAGCCAUGCAAGAAGGCUCCCACAGGUAUCACAACACUGCAGCCACUUGCCUUGCCCCUCUGUUUGAACAAAAGCUGUACUUUUCCCUGCUAGGGAAGGGUGGGAAUUUCAACCAGCUUCUCCUGCAGCUGUGUUCUGCUCCCCAGGAGCAGGGGGGCAGAGGUGCAUGUGCCAUCAGGAGUGAUGGUGAGAGAUGGAGCAGGUGCCAAUGGGUGCCCCACAGAGUCCAUGGGCCAGUGCAGCAAAGCCCCUCCAUCCCCCAGGGGCUGGGGCCAGUCUGAUGCUCCAGCGAGGUUUUUCAUCUCCCUCCUCGAUGUCAGCAGAGCACAAAGGCAGGGGAGAGGUCAACCCCUCUGUUAAUACAUGUGUUUUAAAUAACUGGUAUUUUUAUUUCUUCUCUUCGGUGUGGUGGGCUUGGCACACAUCUUUGUUUGCACAAUCGUCCUGCCCAUAGGUUCUGUUGCCCAAGUAAGGAGAAAGAGAUCCUGUGUGUGAUCUGGAGGUGUGCUGUGCUGGUUCUGACAUGUAAAUAUUAAUCAAGAAACAACAAUAGAGAGACAAAAAAAUCCCUCCUAUCCUUGAACCCCUUCAGAUCCCUUUAUUGUCCAGGCAUUUGUUGCACUUGGACUGGUUUUUCACUUUCUCCUCUCAGAGAGGUUGGCUCCAGCAAUGGUCCCCAGAUUCCUCAGCUACAUCCUACUGAGGGAAAACAUUUAUUGAAGUUUUCAGCUUAUUAGGGAAAUACAUAUUUCUGCUUCUUUUCCAAACUCCACUGACAUCUUUUCGAAGCCAGCCCUGUGUGUCAGCAUGGGGGAAGGCGAGGCAUCCCCUCUCUCUCCUCUUGCAGCUGUAUGAACUUUGAGUACCCCAAAACAUCAUGGAGAGGGAAUUCCUACCACCACCAUGUGCUGCUUUGGUGGACAAAAGCGGUGAGUAUAUGUGUAGAUUGUUUUCCUCCAUAAAGCUGUGCUUCACUCACUCACACCUCUGAGGAAACACAGGGUACUUGGACACCCAUCCAGCUCCCCAGAUAUCCACAGUGCAGCUGAACUUUGCCAGGGCAGCAUUGAUGAGGUGAGAGGGCACAGGGAGGUGUCCAGUGAGAGAAUUGGACAGCCUGUUUCAUAUGAAGGAGACAAAAUACUUUUCCCUGGGUUAUCCUGUAAAACUCACUCUCUCAUGGCUCUCACUCUGCUGGCAGACUCUCAGGUGGUAACUACCAAGUGCUCAAGUCUGGAUGUGGCCUUUAACUUCAGAUGUCCUUCAGGCUUCAGCUGCCAGAGGUUGGCAGAGAGUAGCAGGGAGAGAAUCAUCCUGUGCUCACUGUUUCUUUUAUUUUCUUUCUAAGCAUCCAUCCCUAGACACUGCUGGAGGGGAGAUUCUGGAGCUUUGGAUGAAAUCCCACAAAUUUUCAUGGAAGCAGAACAGCAGGAAGGCAAACAGGAAAGAAGAGGAGUAAUAUACUAAUCUCAGGGGCACUUGUUGCAUUUCUCUCUUUUCUCUGCUGCGCUGUUUCCUUUUCCUCCAGCCACAUACUACAGGAUCACACCAGAUGAAUUAAGGGAUUAAACCAUAAGGGAGAAUUAGGAUCCUGCUGAUUUAGAACCAGAAACCAGAUGGGCUUAUUGAACUUUAGAUGCUGCAAGAAAAUCUUGGGUAGUGCUUUGGAGGUAGGUCACAGGAUAAUUCAAGUUAUUGGGAACCUCCGAAGAUCUCUGGUCCAACAGCCCCAAAGCAAAGUCAUCUUAGGUCAGAUUGCCCAGGGCUAUGUCCAGCAAAGUCCCCAGGGAUGGAGAUUCCCCCACACCUCUGGUUCUCUGUGUUGAACCAUCUUCAGGGUAAAUUUCCCCCAAUAUCUAAUCCAAACUUUCCCUUCUGCAAUGUGUAUUUAUUGCCUGUCCUUCCAUGUCUGUGUGUAUACCAGGUUCAUCAGGACCCAUUCAGGGCCUGUUGUGCCUCCCUUGUAAACCAGAUUGUCGGGCACAAAUUUCCUGUCUUAGACAGAGGUUAGUGGGCCUUGUGAGCACCUUGGACUCUGCUAGUGGAAGCAGGUCUGGAUAGGUCUCACCUCUCCAGGGUGCACCAGUGCUGCCUUUGAAUGGCUCUCACCUGUGUAACGGGGUGAGGAUUUGCUGCUACUGUGACUGGAGACAUCCUGAGCAACAUCCAAACAUCACUCCCAUAACCCACCUUCAGGAUUAUCCAGGAGGUGGUGGGUCUGGAGAAAAAGGACCCGUGGUGGCCUUUGGCCUGCUGCAUCCACCUGGGGAAACAAAGGCAUGGAUAAUAAAGGUCACCUGUUCACCUUCAUGGUUGACAACUGAGCCAAGAAAUUCCUUCUCCCCAGACUGCCUGGGUCACACAGCAUGGGGCCAUGCUCAGACACAGCUUUUGGUGACAGGCUCACAGGCAGGUGGACCUCUUCCAGUACAUUUUGGCAGCUGGGAAUCAUCUCAGUGAAAGACAGGGCUGUGAUGUGUUUGGCUGUGCCUUGUAGGAGAGGAGAGAAGAAAAAAUUAAAAAAAAAAAAAAGAAAAAA